AGAGUUUGAUCCUGGCUCAGGAUGAACGCUAGCUACAGGCUUAACACAUGCAAGUCGAGGGGCAUCAGUUUGGUUUGCUUGCAAACCAAAGCUGGCGACCGGCGCACGGGUGAGUAACACGUAUCCAACCUGCCUCAUACUCGGGGAUAGCCUUUCGAAAGAAAGAUUAAUAUCCGAUAGCAUAUAUUUCCCGCAUGGGUUUUAUAUCAAAGAAAUUCGGUAUGAGAUGGGGAUGCGUUCCAUUAGUUUGUUGGGGGGGUAACGGCCCACCAAGACUACGAUGGAUAGGGGUUCUGAGAGGAAGGUCCCCCACAUUGGAACUGAGACACGGUCCAAACUCCUACGGGAGGCAGCAGUGAGGAAUAUUGGUCAAUGGACGCGAGUCUGAACCAGCCAAGUAGCGUGAAGGAUGACUGCCCUAUGGGUUGUAAACUUCUUUUAUAUGGGAAUAAAGUGGUCCACGUGUGGACUUUUGUAUGUACCAUAUGAAUAAGGAUCGGCUAACUCCGUGCCAGCAGCCGCGGUAAUACGGAGGAUCCGAGCGUUAUCCGGAUUUAUUGGGUUUAAAGGGAGCGUAGGCGGAUUGUUAAGUCAGUUGUGAAAGUUUGCGGCUCAACCGUAAAAUUGCAGUUGAUACUGGCAGUCUUGAGUGCAGUAGAGGUGGGCGGAAUUCGUGGUGUAGCGGUGAAAUGCUUAGAUAUCACGAAGAACUCCGAUUGCGAAGGCAGCUCACUGGAGUGUAACUGACGCUGAUGCUCGAAAGGUGUGGGUAUCAAACAGGAUUAGAUACCCUGGUAGUCCACACAGUAAACGAUGAAUACUCGCUGUUUGCGAUAUACAGUAAGCGGCCAAGCGAAAGCAUUAAGUAUUCCACCUGGGGAGUACGCCGGCAACGGUGAAACUCAAAGGAAUUGACGGGGGCCCGCACAAGCGGAGGAACAUGUGGUUUAAUUCGAUGAUACGCGAGGAACCUUACCCGGGUUUGAACGCAUUUGGACAGUCCUUGAAAGAGGAUCUCUAGCAAUAGCCGUUUGCGAGGUGCUGCAUGGUUGUCGUCAGCUCGUGCCGUGAGGUGUCGGCUUAAGUGCCAUAACGAGCGCAACCCUUAUCUUCAGUUACUAACAGGUCAUGCUGAGGACUCUGGAGAGACUGCCGUCGUAAGAUGUGAGGAAGGUGGGGAUGACGUCAAAUCAGCACGGCCCUUACGUCCGGGGCUACACACGUGUUACAAUGGGGGGUACAGAAGGCCGCUACCUGGUGACAGGAUGCCAAUCCCAAAAACCUCUCUCAGUUCGGAUCGAAGUCUGCAACCCGACUUCGUGAAGCUGGAUUCGCUAGUAAUCGCGCAUCAGCCAUGGCGCGGUGAAUACAAACCCGGGCCUUGCACACACCGCCCGUCA
rnacentral:rRNA from 1 species